UACGAAGGGGUCUAGCGUUGCUCGGAAUCACUGGGCGUAAAGCGCACGUAGGCGGACUCUUAAGUCAGGGGUGAAAUCCUGGAGCUCAACUCCAGAACUGCCUUUGAUACUGGGAGUCUUGAGUUCGGGAGAGGUGAGUGGAACUGCGAGUGUAGAGGUGAAAUUCGUAGAUAUUCGCAAGAACACCAGUGGCGAAGGCGGCUCACUGGCCCGAUACUGACGCUGAGGUGCGAAAGCGUGGGGAGCAAACAGG
rnacentral:rRNA from 1 species